rnacentral:rRNA from 1 species
AUUGAACGCUGGCGGCGGGCUUUACACAUGCAAGUCGAACGAGUGGCGAACGGGUGAGUAACGCCUCGGAACGUACCUGGUGAUGGGGGAUAACUGUCCGAAAGGGCAGCUAAUACCGCAUAUUAUUGGAGCGGCCGCUGGGGGAUUAGCUGGUUGGGGGGGUAAAGGCCCACCAAGGCGACGAUCAGUAGCGGGUCUGAGAGGAUGAUCCGCCACACUGGGACUGAGAGACGGCCCAGACUCCUACGGGAGGCAGCAGUGGGGGAUUUUGGACAAUGGGCGCAAGCCUGAGCCAGCCAUGGCGCGUGUUUGAAGAAGGCCUUCGGGUUGUAAAGGACUUUUGGCAGGGAAGCGGUACCUGAAGAAGAAGCACCGGCUAACUACGUGCCAGCCGCCGCGGUAAUAC